rnacentral:lncRNA from 1 species
UUUUCCUAUUACCCUCUACAUUUUUAGAAGUUUAUGGAAGUAUACAUGUCAUCUUCGUUAUGGCUAUCAAAGAUAUGGCAAAAAUUUACAUAUCUUUGAUAGAUAGAUUUACCAAUAUGAGCUACAGAAAAUCUAUUUUCAACCCAAACCAUGGUUGUCCUAUUCUUUUAAUCAUAUAGUAAAUUCAACCUAUUUAGAUAAUCUCCA